CAGUUUUGGUUUCGCUAGUUUUGCUCCAAGCGCAGUUGCUACAAUCCGCAGUGGGGCAGUGCGGCGCAAAACUCUCGAGCUCUCUGUAUUUGUUCGGUCGCUCGAAGUAGCGAUAGGGUUCUUUAUUCUAUGGCGAUAGCGUGCUGAGCUAGCGACUGGAACGAUGCUUGUGUCGCGGCGUGUUGACGAAGCCCUGACGAGAAAGCGACGGCAUCGUAAAAGGAAAAGCCUGUCUAAUGGGGACGAAGUAGUUGAGAUGUUUGCAUUUGGCACAUCAACGUGGCACAGAAGUGAGGCCUGUUUUGCCAAGGACCUGAGGGAGACUGACGUUUUGGGAUCUGCUACACCUUUCUCUUCCCUGGUAUGCAGUGAAAAUAAAUUGAAAGUUGAAAUGAAAUAAACAAACAUACUUCUACCCUUGUGUUGUCACUGCUUGGUUGAAACAAAGUCGGCACUGCCCCUUCACGCAGUCGGCGUCGUUGUAGACCACCCCAAAAGUUAGAUUGCUUGAAGUGGGCAGAGCACAGAGCAUAACGUCUGGUUGGAGCAAAGCCUCUCAGACCCAUGGCUUGAAGCCAUUUUUGCAGGAGGAUGGGAUUGUCAAUUGGAAACCUGUUUAUUCAACACAAAAAGUGCAGAAAGUGGUCAGUCAUCAUCAUCAUCACCAGUCUAUUUAUAUGUACAGUACAGGA